rnacentral:rRNA from 1 species
AGAGUUUGAUCAUGGCUCAGAACGAACGCUGGCGGCAGGCCUAACACAUGCAAGUCGAACGAAGCCCCUCUUCGGAGGUCAGCUUAGUGGCGCACGGGUGAGUAACACGUGGGAACGUACCCUUAGGUGCAGGACAACAGUUGGAAACGACUGCUAAUACUGCAUAAUAACUCCGGUUCAAAGAAUUUCGCCUAAGGAUCGGCCCGCGUCUGAUUAGCUAGUUGGUGGGGUAAUGGCCUACCAAGGCGACGAUCAGUAGCUGUUCUGAGAGGAUGAUCAGCCACACUGGUACUGAGACACGGACCAGACUCCUACGGGAGGCAGCAGUGAGGAAUAUUGGACAAUGGGGGCAACCCUGAUCCAGCCAUGCCGCGUGAGUGAAGAAGGCCUUAGGGUUGUAAAGCUCUUUCAGAUGUGAAGAUGAUGACGGUAACAUCAGAAGAAGCUCCGGCUAACUUCGUGCCAGCAGCCGCGGUAAUACGAAGGGAGCGAGCGUUGUUCGGAAUCACUGGGCGUAAAGCGUGCGUAGGCGGAUAAGAAAGUCAGAAGUGAAAUCCCGGGGCUCAACCCCGGAACUGCUUUUGAAACUCCUUGUCUAGAGUAUGGUAGAGGAUAACGGAAUUCCGAGUGUAGAGGUGAAAUUCGCAGAUAUUCGGAGGAACACCAGUUGCGAAGGCGGCUAUCUGGGCCAUUACUGACGCUGAGGUACGAAAGCGUGGGGAGCAAACAGGAUUAGAUACCCUGGUAGUCCACGCCGUAAGCGAUGUAUGCUAGUUGUCGGGGGUUCUGCCUUCGGUGACG